CUUUUCCUUUGGCUGUCGCUUGGUGGGUGAAGUGCAAUUACUGGGGGGAGAAGACUGCCUUCACCCUCUGCCUUACCCCCAGGCAGUGUCUGAAGUGUUAAAAGGAGUCUUCUGUGUCUCUGACCAUCCUCCUGUAUAAAACAAGAGGGUUGAGCACAUUCCAUGAGCAGUGCACCCCAUCAAUGCCCCAUCCCAGCCCCGAAGGCCACCCUGCCCCACGGCUGGGAGGAGGCACAGAGCUCCAACCUGCCCCUGCCUGUGGGUCUCCACAGGGAAGACUCAGUUUCUACACAUUUGUAAGGGCUGUCAAAGUCCUUCUGCACACCUCCCUCCUCACCCAUCUCCCCUUUUGCAUGACCCAAGAAAUUAAUAACUUCAGGACUGAAUCAGUCUGAGCACCACAACUUUCUCCUGAUAAUUUUAGAGAUGGUUUCUCCUCUUCUGACUCUGGAUUAAUAGUCUGGGAGGCCUCAGUGAAAGCAACUUGCUUCUGGUGAUUCUUGGCACCAGGAGCAGGGAGUUGAAAGAGUGGAUAGGGCAUGGAGAUGUGCCAGUGCCACCGCAGGGCUGGAAACGAUGGCAUUCCAUUUGGGAGGAGGGUUUAUAUAGCCACUGAGGCCCUUCAUGCCUUGGGGGAACAUGGGAGCCCUGUGACCCACUACUCUUUUGCAGAAACAAAGUAACCUUGUAAAACUGAAAGAGACAUCUGAUUACUGUUUACCCGGGUCCUUGAGGGGCUGGGAGAGUGCCUGCAAUACAGAUCAUGCAGGGCUGAGGCAAACAGCGUACAGUUCUCUUGCCUUCUGGAGCUGCUAACUGCCCUUCCAUCCUUUUCUGCUCCCCAGUCAACUGUCCAGUCCUACCUGGAGGGGGUAAGUGCAGGGCUGGAGCAGCUGCGGUCGGCGGCCCAGGAGGUGCAGAGCGUGUGCCAGGACCUGGGGGCUGCACGAUGGGCCCUGCUCGACAGCGCAGACCACUUCCAGGGCCUCCAGCAGAUGAGGGAGCUGAUGGAGGAGCAUGUGCAGCUGGCCUCAGUGGUCCAGGUGCUGCCCCAGAUCUUCUCGGUCCAUGAGGUUUCUUCCCAUAUCCUGCAGCUGCUCCAUGGGCAGCAUCUCUUGGAGGCCCACGUGGAGCUCAUGAUGGUGGAGCAACUCCGGGAUGACAUCCUCUCCCAGCUGCACCUCCGCGGGCUCUCCAGUGCCCAGGCAA
rnacentral:lncRNA from 1 species